CCUACGGGAGGCAGCAGUGGGGAAUAUUGCUCAAUGGGGGCAACCCUGAUGCAGCGACGCCGCGUGCGUGAAGAAGUAUUUCGGUAUGUAAAACUCUAUUAGCAGGGAAGAAAAAAGACGGUACCUUACUAAUAAGCCCCGGCUAACUACGUGCCAGCAGCCGCGGUACUACGUAGGGGGCAAGCGUUAUCCGGAUUUACUGGGUGUAAAGGGAGCGUAGACGGUUGUGCAAGUCUGAAGUGAAAGCCCAGGGUUCAACCUUGGAACUGCCUCGGAAACUGUGGGGCUAGAGUGCUGGAGCGGUAAGCGGAAUGCAUGGUGUAGCGAUGAAAUGCGUAGAUAUUAGGAGGAACACCAGUGGCGAAGGCGGCUUACUGGGCAGUAACUGACGUUGAGGCUCGAAAGCGUGGGGAGCAAACAGGAUUAGAUACCCCAGUAGUC
rnacentral:rRNA from 1 species